CGGAGGGAGACGUGUUUGGAUUCAAUGUAGGACGCAGAAAGACCCUGAAGAAAUAAAGUCGAGCAUGUAUCGAGCUGCUACAAGCAAACGCGUGCACUGCCCCUUGCGUUCCAGAAACACUUGUAUUCGGGAAGCCUGGCUGUACUCCUUAAAACCCGAGAGGAAAUCCAAAAACAAAGGUGAACCUAAUUCGCACCACAAAAAAGACAGGGGUGCACGUCAGUUACGCGGGAUAAGGGAGAGAUAUCCAUCAUCAUCAUGCUGAAGGAGGAUCAAAACUAACUGGGACUAAUUUGUCCCACAUGGAAGAGUUUGGAAAUGUCUAUUGCAGUUGGAGCAUGUGUCCCUAGCCUACAUAAGAAAGCUUGCAAACAAUAAUGACCUUUGAGAUGGGUACAAGGAACAAGACUCAGGAGAAACCAAAAUCUUUUUCUAUUUGGUUUCGACACCAUCUCCCAUCUUGUCAUUGUGCUGGGAAUUGACUGGAUGAACCAGGAUAAACAGGAAGUGAGCGAAGACCGAACUAGCAGGGGGCACUGCUGUUUGCUGUUCCGACUUCCUGCCUGUUGCGCAUCGCCAUCCUGCUGAGCUCUGAUAGGACGACUCUGUCCAGAUGGCCCAACCUGAUAGGACAGGCUGGCCACUGGUGGGCAAAACACCGCAAAACCUCAAGGCUCUUCAUCACAAGUUUGACUGGGGGUUCCCAUGAAUGAGCAGCAUCCAAAUCCCGGCUUUCUCCUAUCCAUUUUAACAAAGGAGCCGUUACAAGGCUAUUUAUAACACUGCUUGUGAAAAAAAGGUUUUUACAUAUCAGCUGAGUUUUGAAAAAAAUAGUUCAAGUAUUUGUGUGAAUAUGUUAAUUUGUUGCAUGACUGCAGCUGCAUCAGUGCAGCUGUUUCAGUUUUCACAUCAAAUGUGUGGCACAUGAAACACAGCCAUGCAGUGUAGAAAGGAUGUGCUAAAUUUCAUUUCUAAUGCAUCAUUGCAGAAAGCCAGAUUCUCAGAUAGAGAAAGUGGGGGGCUCAGUUAAAACUAGACUAAGUGGAGGUGUCAAAAAGAAGAACAGGAGUCCAAGCUAAAAAUGGCAAAUGUAUCUUUUACAAGACAGUUUGUGUUGAUUUAAGCCUGCUCUUUUGUGGUUGACUGUAUAUGGUAUUUGCAUAUAUGUUUUAAAAGGCUCUUAAAAGUUUGAAAGUGCUCAUGGCAUGGGAGAUUGAUAGUUAUGCUGAAAGUUAUAUGUGGUUUAACUUAUUGCAUCAGGUUUUUUUAAAAACAUGCUAGUAGGAUGAAAGGUCACUGAUCAUUUGUCCCAACAUAUUUACAGUGUUAGUGAUCCCCUGUAAGUAAAGCAGAACCUUAUGACCCCUGCCAGCACACCUGCAUCACCACUUGUAUCAGCAGAAAAUGAUCUAUUGAAGCAGCAAACCAAGAAGUAUCUUUCUUUCUGUUUUUGUUGCAUUCCCACAGGACUGAUAUAAUCAACACUGAUUCAAGGGAUAG